rnacentral:rRNA from 1 species
AACCAGCACCUCAAGUGGUCAGGAUGAUUAUUGGGCCUAAAGCAUCCGUAGCCUGCUUUGUUAGUUUUCGGUUAAAUCCAUGCGCUCAACGUAUGGGCUGCCGGGAAUACUGCAAAGCUAGGGAGUGGGAGAGGUAGACGGUACUCGGUAGGAAGGGGUAAAAUCCUUUGAUCUAUCGAUGACCACCUGUGGCGAAGGCGGUCUACCAGAACACGUUCGACGGUGAGGGAUGAAAGCUGGGGGAGCAAACCGG